AUGUCAUCUUUUAAAAGUAGCUUUAUAUCGUUUUGCAAAUGUACGUAAUAUUUACUGAUGGUAACUUUUAUUAACUUUUUACACGGUUGCCAUGGAAUAAACUCUUCAGUAUAUCAGAUAAUUUGCAACCCCAUUACUUGAUUAAAUGAAGUUGAAUGUGGUCCGAUUUUGAAAUUAAGCACAAUUGCAUCAGUUUGACCCUUAUGAUGGUGCUGCAUUCAGAAACUCAACAAGUGAAAUAUGUUUAACUUAAAAUAUAAUUUGCAUGUAAAAUGGAUAUGGCCAAAUGUAUGUAGGCAGCAGGUUUAAGCUCUAGUUAUAUUUAAUUUAUUUCUAAAGCACAUAGCUGGGUUCAGACUAACACAGGAACACACAGGGCCGGUUUCGGAGACAGAGCUUAAAUCAAGACUGGAGUAGGCCUAAAUCAGACUAGUUAAUCCUGGCUAUUUAAGUGGCUUGCAUGAACAUGGCAUAAAUUUGGCUUAGUUAGUCUGAGACUAUGGAGUCCUGGAGUAAGCUUAAUGAGAACACCUGGUUCAAGCCUCAUUAGACUAAGUGGAAGAACAGGCUGUUGGUCCAAUUGUGCUCAUGAAAACCUGAAAUGGAGUAUGAAACACGAUUGUUGCAGUGAAUUUUGAGACAACAUAAUGGCAGAGGCAAAGAUAAUUCGCUCCAAAAAAUAUUGUGAGCAUGAAAAAACACUACUUAAACUCAUUGUAUCGAACCAUCCAGUCAUUGAAAGCAAAAUCCAUACUGCUGCUAUUGAACAUAAGAAAAUAAGUGCUUGGACUGCAAUUGGCAAAGAAUUCAAUGCAAAUGAAGAUGUCACCACAAGAACAGUACAACAACUGCAGGUUCUAUGGAAGAACAUUAAACUGGGAUUAAAAAAAGAGAAUGCAGCAAGCAAAAGAGAGCGAUUUAUUACAGGUGGUGGAUCACCAAUAAAGGACACAUGUGAUGAAUUGGGUGACUUGCUGUCUGGUAUAAUAGAGCACCAGCAACCUCUGGAUGGUAUACCAGACAAUGACCAUUUGGACAGUGAACAUGGAGAACUGAGCACAAAUGAGGAAACCAAUCAAGAGCCAGUUCACAACGAGCCUGAACCCUCCACAUCUGCUAUGGCACCCCUGGGAGAUGAAGCUGCUACCAUCCAACAGAGACCAAAAAAGAUAACUAUGCCUGAAAAGUUAGCCAGAGAAUUUCAUGGGCGUAAAAUUGAAUAUUUAAAAGAAGAACAUGAAAUGAAAAUGAGAAUUCUAGAGGUUGAACUGGAUAUGAAAUUGGGAGAGAGGGCUAUGCUCCAAAAAAUAAUUCUGCAUACCAGUAGCCAUGGUGAAUAUGAGGAAUUGUGAAGAAUAAAAAUAAAUGUAUUGUCAUUUGGCGUGUGAGUGAGUAUUAAUCAUCACAAACUACAUUUUAACCAGCCUUCACUCGUUUAAUUUUGCUACAUUAUUGUAAUUUUGUACAGAAACAGUAUGCAAGCAAAACCAUACCAUAAUGAAUACAUUCCAUAUUUAAAUGCUGAAGUGCUGCACUGUGAAAGCAGCUCUGUGUGCAAGUCCUCGCUGGUCAUUGGCUGCCUCUGCCACCAUGGGCACAUCUGCAUUAUCCUGAUCUUCCAUUGGCAGAUCAGGACAGCCAUGCUGCUUCAGGUAGUUGUGCAGCACAGCUGUAGCAAUGAUCACUUUGCAGCAUCUUCUUGGCUUGAAACGAAACGUAUUUCGUAAGCACUGGAAUCGAGUUUUCCACACUCCAAACAUACGCUCGAUCAUCCCUCUAGUACGGGUAUGAGCUCUGUUGUACCUUUGCUGCUCAGCUGUUGUGGGAUUUAGAUGUGGUGUGAAUAAAUAGUUACUCUGACCAUAUCCACUAUCACCAAGUAGUAGUCCACUAUGUUGUCCUCUCUCAAAUUGUGCACACAAUGAAGAGUUGAGAAAAAUCCUUGAAUCAUAGGUUGCACCUUUCCAACGGGCAACAAUGUUUGAAAACUCCAAAUUAGGAGUGCAUACAUCCUGAACAUUGAUUGAAAAACAGUUCUUACGAUUCCUGUAUUCCUCUGCAUCAGGAGUUGAUGGACACUUGAUGGGAACAUGACAUCCGUCUAUACAGCCAAUCACUCCUGGGACGUGCCCAUAUUCAUAGAAUUGCACUUUAUAGUUGGCUUGCCCAGCAGCAUCAGGGAACUUGAUGAAAAGACUCCUCAGUUCACAAAUGGCACUGCAGACUUUGAACUAUUCUACAUACAGUUGGUUCACUGACACCACACAAAUCACCAGUUUCACGAUGAAAGAUUCCACAUGCCAAGAACCUCAAAGUGAUCAGAACUUGCAGUUGAUUGGACACAGGCCUUCCUCUUUGAGACAGAGAGGAAAGUCUAGGCUCAAGCAAAGUAAUUAUCUCCAAUGCAUUUUCCUUGUGCAUACGAAAGCGGUCUCGAAAAGUUAUUUCAUCAAACUGAUUCAAUGGGUCACUCCUAUCCAGCAGUAUUCGUCUGGCUGGCCUUUGUCGUGCAUGUUGGUCCUCGUUAUGAUAUUUCAAAUAGUCCAUGCUCCCAAACAAUCCAAGCUCAGUUUCACAAACAGUAGCCUAGCCUACUAAGCGGGAGUUAAACCUGCCUCCUUGGCAGAUUAGUUUAAGCUUCAAUUCAGUCCAAUUUAGUCCUGGAGUAGCUCUAAUGCUCAAUUUUGCAAUCGGCUUUGUUUAAUCCAGAACAGGCUUAAUCCAUGAUUAUUUUAAGAUACGUCUGUGCAAGUGAAUUUCAGUUAAGCCAGCUCAAACAGCAUUUUAGUCUGGGACUAGGCUUAAGCCUUGUCUCCGAAACCGGCCCCUAGUCUCUUAAAAUAAUCUCAAUUUUAAACUGCAGUUUACGACAGAUCGAUGUUGACUUGUGAUUAAAGGGUGCUGAGUCAGGUCACAUAGCUUUUAUUGUCUCUUCUGACUUUUGUCUUGUUGUUUUUGAUGACCAGAGUCCACCACCUAUAAACUCCAUUUGAUGACCACGAUUUGGAUGAAACUGGGACUCAAAUUCUGCAGCAACAUCCCAACACUGGAUACCAAAUGGUGGUUGGGCAUUUGAAUGCACCACACACACACACACACACGUAUAAAAGGUAAGUGACAGUAGUCAUUAUCUUUUUGGUUAUUUACUUGUGCACAGAUUCUGAUCAGAUGAGAUACCAACAGUGCUAACUCUAUACCUUCUAUUUCUAUUGUGAGGUCUGAAGCAGAGCUUUGCUAAAGUAGAUUGUAAGUGGCAGCUAGUUGUCCUUUUUUAAGAGUUUAACACAGAUUGUAAGCAGACUAAAUUAUUUAUUUCCCCAUCAGGAUAGAAAGGGUCUGGAGAGACGUUUAUAACAGUGUACUUGAUCUCUUCCACUCCAUCUUUACCUUGAGGGAGAAGGCCUUCUCAACCUGACAACAAAACUCAUCUCUAUGCUGCACUAGUGCUUUGUUCCCCACGUACAGAAACACCUUCAGGUGAUCCAUGAUGGCUGGAGAUGCUGCGACUACGUACCGAGGGAAACCAGUCCACCCCACAACUGUGGAGUCUCCAUGAACAUGAGGCACAGCAGGACCCAGUACAGGUCCACAUGGAGGUUGGAGUUGACUGGACCGUGUGGUCAUCACGUCCAAUGUGUUGGAUGUCUUUGUACAAACUGAAUGCUUAAUAUCAGACAUGCUCCAGUAAAUGCAUGUGUCACCAGCUGUAUGAUGCAGAGGGAAGUUAAAUAAAUGCUCUGAUUAAAUCUG